rnacentral:rRNA from 1 species
GAUGAACGCUGGCGGCGUGCCUAAUACAUGCGAGUCGAGCGAACAGACGAGGAGCUUGCUCCUCUGACGUUAGCGGCGGACGGGUGAGUAACACGUGGAUAACCUACCUAUAAGACUGGGAUAACUUCGGGAAACCGGAGCUAAUACCGGAUAAUAUAUUGAACCGCAUGGUUCAAUAGUGAAAGACGGUUUUGCUGUCACUUAUAGAUGGAUCCGCACCGCAUUAGCUAGUUGGUAAGGUAACGGCUUACCAAGGCAACGAUGCGUAGCCGACCUGAGAGGGUGAUCGGCCACACUGGAACUGAGACACGGUCCAGACUCCUACGGGAGGCAGCAGUAGGGAAUCUUCCGCAAUGGGCGAAAGCUUGACGGAGCAACGCCGCGUGAGUGAUGAAGGUCUUCGGAUCGUAAAACUCUGUUAUUAGGGAAGAACAAAUGUGUAAGUAACUAUGCACGUCUUGACGGUACCUAAUCAGAAAGCCACGGCUAACUACGUG